UUAAAUUGAAGAGUUUGAUCAUGGCUCAGAUUGAACGCUGGCGGCAGGCCUAACACAUGCAAGUCGAACGGUAACAGGAAGCAGCUUGCUGCUUCGCUGACGAGUGGCGGACGGGUGAGUAAUGUCUGGGAAACUGCCUGAUGGAGGGGGAUAACUACUGGAAACGGUAGCUAAUACCGCAUAACGUCGCAAGACCAAAGAGGGGGACCUUCGGGCCUCUUGCCAUCGGAUGUGCCCAGAUGGGAUUAGCUAGUAGGUGGGGUAACGGCUCACCUAGGCGACGAUCCCUAGCUGGUCUGAGAGGAUGACCAGCCACACUGGAACUGAGACACGGUCCAGACUCCUACGGG
rnacentral:rRNA from 1 species